GACGAACGCUGGCGGCGUGCUUAACACAUGCAAGUCGAACGGAAAGGCCCUUCGGGGUACUCGAGUGGCGAACGGGUGAGUAACACGUGGGUGAUCUGCCCUGCACUUUGGGAUAAGCCUGGGAAACUGGGUCUAAUACCGAAUAGGACCACGCGCUUCAUGGUGUGUGGUGGAAAGCUUUUGCGGUGUGGGAUGGGCCCGCGGCCUAUCAGCUUGUUGGUGGGGUAAUGGCCUACCAAGGCGACGACGGGUAGCCGGCCUGAGAGGGUGACCGGCCACACUGGGACUGAGAUACGGCCCGGACUCCUACGGGAGGCAGCAGUGGGGAAUAUUGCACAAUGGGCGCAAGCCUGAUGCAGCGACGCCGCGUGAGGGAUGACGGCCUUCGGGUUGUAAACCUCUUUCGCCAGGGACGAAGCGCAAGUGACGGUACCUGGAGAAGAAGGACCGGCCAACUACGUGCCAGCCGCCGCGGUAAUAC
rnacentral:rRNA from 1 species